AAAGGUAUAGGAGCCGGAAUCACUACUAGAGGUAGGUACUCAGCAGGAGGGCCAUCUGCAGGCUCAUCAGCACCCUCGGGUAGUGCGAAGGGCUGGAAAUCGUCAUCGUCCGUGCUGGUGUAGUCAGACGUAUGCACCUCGUGCUCCGAGGAUGGGAGGUCAUCAGAUACGAUAGGUCUGGGUCCAGUGGUGUCCGAGUCGCCAGUACCGGCGGAGUCCAUGAGUCUGUAAUCAUAAACACAAAUAUGCACAAAUAAUCAGCCGUACAAUCAAGUAAUCACAUAAGUUACCAAGUAAGAUAUCACAUAAUCCUCCUAGUCCCACUAGCUUCCCAGCCUCUCAGACUGCUCUUCCUAGUCCCACUAGCUUCCCAGCCUCUCAGACUGACGUUCCUAGUCCCACUAGCCAAUUCUUCCAGCCUCCCAGACUGACUCCCUAGUCCCACUAGACAAUUCUCCCAGCCUCCAGACUGACUCCCUAGUCCCACUAGUCAAUUCUCCCAGCCUCCCAGACUGACUCCCUAGUCCCACUAGACAACUACCUCGAUCCAUUGGAUCGAGCCUCGGCCUCCCAGACCGAGCCUCAGCCUCCCAGACUGAGCCUAAAAAUAAUAAAUAAAAUGCGCUCAACAUUUGUUUGUAAAAAGGUUUUGGAUCUGGACUUAAGUGGUAUGCAGUAAAAAUGUUUUCGUGAGAGCCCUAGUGAUCAUAGUCUAGACUCGAGAAGGAAUCCUAGUUCGCUAUGAUCAGGGCUCUGAUACCAAGCUGUCACACCCUGGCUUUGCGGAAGCGUGUACCAUUGUUUUAA
rnacentral:lncRNA from 1 species